ensembl:lncRNA
CUUCCCAGACCUCAUGUAAGGGUUGGCAGUGGAGGUGAGGGCUUCUUGCUGGAGAUCCCUGCCUACCUGAGGCCUUCUGAAAGUUCUGUUCUCAUCAAGGAAUGCCUGACAAGGAGAAGAUGUGAAUAGGAUGCAGCUGAAAGCUUUUGAGCCCUUGGGAUUUAGGAUAAAAAAAAAAAAAAAAAAGAAGCAGGAGGAAAAAUGAAGUCCAACAUCUGCUUGGUUUGCUCAGCCAAGAACUGGGCUUUGAAGCACAGUUACAGGAAGAAGCCCAACUGCCAAGGGUUGCAUGCCCAACUCGGUGCUGUGUUGGAUCCUGUGCAUCUGGGGGGGAACUUCAGGCAGCUGCUCUACGAUCACUGGGAGCUGAAGAAGCUAAUCUUCAUUAGAUUGUGGAAAAAGAAACUUUUGUCGUGUGCUUGACUGCUUUUUGUCUUGGUGGAUGUCUCUCACUUCAAAGUCAGAUAACUGAUGUCUGUAAAUUUAGCAUUAAGCAUAUUUUCUGUGCCAUAAUAGCAGCAAGACCAUAGUCUGGUGGUGACGUGACUACAGUGACCUGAAUAUAUCCAUUGAGCACUACACUUUGAGCAGUUUGAGUUACUGGCUCAAUAAUGCAACUAAAGGAAAGUUUUUAUACUCUCUGUAGCCUUCCAGCUUGAUGUUGUAUUCACAUUUGAGGAAACUACUGAUGAUACUGAGAGAAUAUAGUGGGUAAAUGACAGCAAGCUCACAGCAGCGAGACCAUUCAAAUCAACAAAACAACUAUUAAUAUAAAAUAGCCUUUUGAGAAUUAUUUAUGAAUUUAAUUUAGCUUUUCUUAAUUUUUAAUUUCUUAACAAGAAACUGGUCUAUACAUGUUUAAUGAAGGUCUAAUUCUUGAACAUCAUGUAGCCAUAUUUAUUUUAUGAUGUCACUAGAGCUUGAUUUUGAAACAAAGCUGUCUCUUUAUAAAGGAUUACAUUGGUACUUCACACAGAUAUGAAGAGUUUGUCUUUGGAGAAGAGCCCAGCCAGGUGGAUCUUAGGACUGCACAGAGCUACUACAGAAAAAUGGGCUAAAAUCUCUCCCGCUGAAUUGGAAACUUAGUUUUCAAUUGAAAAUACAUGCAUGUUUUUCUUGUGCAUACCAAUACUGAACAUUAAAUAAAUGAAUCUGGGCACAACAACUGAGAAGCUUGCAUGUCACCAGCUUUGAAUCUGAAUCUGGCUUCAAUAACUCAUGUUGCCCAAGAGUUCUAGCUCAAGUCUUUCUCAUGCCUAAAAAGAUAGAAAAAUU